ensembl:lncRNA
GAGUGUGUGUGUGUGUGUGUGUGAGAGAGGGAGUGUGUGUGUGUGUGUGAGAGAGGGAGUGUGUGUGUGUGAGAGAGGGAGUGUGUGUGUGUGAGAGAGGGAGUGUGUGUGUGUGAGAGAGGGAGUGUGUGUGUGUGUGAGAGAGGGAGUGUGUGUGAGUGUGUGUGUGAGAGAGGGAGUGUGUGUGUGUGAGGAAGUGUGUGUGUGUGAGGAAGUCUGUGUGUGUGUGUGAGGGAGUCUGUGUGUGUGUGUGUGAGAGAGGCUUUGUGUGUGAGAGAGGCUUUGUGUGUGAGAGAGGCUUUGUGUGUGAGAGAGGCUUUGUGUGUGUGAGAGGCUGUGUGUGUGUGAGAGGAAGUGUGUGUGUGUGUGUGUGUGAGAGAGGGAGUGUGUGUGAGAGAGGGAGUGUGUGUGUGAGAGAGAGUGUGUAUGUGUGUGUGAGAGGGGGAGUGUGUGUGUGUGAGAGAGGGAGUGUGUGUGUGUGAGAGAGGGAGUGUGUGUAUGUGUGAGUGAAAGAGGGAGUGUGUGUGAGAGAGUGUGUGUGUGUGAGAGGGAGUGUGUGUGUGGGAGUGGGGGA